rnacentral:rRNA from 1 species
AGCCAUGCAUGUCUAAGCUCAUGCCGUAUGGCGAGGCCGCGAAUGGCUCAUUAAAUCAGUUUUUGUUCCGUAGUAGAGUGGUUCGUAGUUGGAUAAUUGUGGCAAUUCUAGAGCUAAUACAUGCCUCUAAGCUCCGACCUUCUGGGACGGGCGCUUUUAUUAGAACAAAACCAAUCGGGGCCUCGUGCCCGUGAAUUGUGUUGACUCUGGAUAACCUAUUGCAGAUCGAGCGGGCUUGGCCCGUUGACAGGACUUUCAAGCGUCUGUCUUAUCAAUUGUAGAUGGCAGGUUACGUGCUUACAAUGUUCGUAACGGGUGUCGGGGAAUCAGGGUUUGAUUCCGGAGAGGGAGCCUGAGAAACGGCUACCACAUCCAAGGAAGGCAGCAGGCGCGCAAAUUACCCAAUCCCGGCUCGGGGAGGUAGUGACGAAAAAUAAUAAUACGGGACUCUUUAGAGAACCCGUAAUUGGAAUGAGUCCAGUCUAAAUCCUUUAGCGAGUAUCUAUUGGAGGGAAAGUCUGAUGCCAGCAGCCGCGGUAAUUUCAGCUCCAAUGGCGUAUAUUAAAGUUGUUGCGGCUAAAAAGCUCAUAGUUGAAUGUCGUUUGGGUGUGAAGGGUAAGGGGCCUAACGGCGGUGCCCUCCUUGUUUAAUAUUCGCCGGUCUGCCUCGAUGAUCUUCACCGGUUGUCUUGGUCGGCCGGCAGUUUUACUUUGAAAAAAUUAGAGUGCUCAAAGCAGGCUGGGAGCCUGGAUAAUGGUGCAUGGCAUGAUGAAAUAGGACUUUGGUUUUGGUGGAUGGUUGUUGAAACACGAGGUAAUGAUUAAGAGGGACGGACGGGGGCAUUCGUAUUGCGACGCUAGAGGUGAAAUUCUUGGACCGUCGCAAGACGAACUACGGCGAAAGCAUUUGCCAAGAAUGUUUUCAUUAAUCAAGAACGAAAGUUAGAGGAUCGAAGCGAUCAGAUACCGCCCUAGUUUUACACGGUAAACUAUACCAGCCAGCGAUCCGGCUGUGUUCCUACAUGACACGCCGGGAAGCCUCCGGGAAACCAAAGCUUUUGGGUUCCGGGGGAAGUAUGGUUGCAAGACUUAAACUUAAAGGAAUUGACGGAAGGGCACCACAAGCCAUGGAGCAUGCGGUUCAAUUUGACUCAACACGGGUAAUCUUACCCAGCCCGGACACAGGAAGGAUUGACAGAUUAAGAGCUCUUUCUUGAUUCUGUGAGUGGUGGUGCAUGGCCGUUCUUAGUUGGUGGAGUGAUUUGUCUGCUUUAUUGCGAUAACGAACGAGACUCUAGCCUACUAAAUAGACGUUCCGAUUUAAUAGUCGGACAUUCUUCUUAGAGGGACAGGCGGCGACUAGCCGCACGAGACAGAGCAAUAACAGGUCUGUGAUGCCCUCAGAUGUCCGGGGCCACACGCGCGCUACAUUGAAAGAAUCAGCGAGUGCUUUCCCGGGCCGACAGGACCGGGUAACCCGUUGAACCCCCUUCGUGCUGGGGAUAGGGGCUUGCAAUUGUUCCCCUUAAACUAGGAAUGCCUAGUAAGCGCAUGUCAUCAGCUUGUGUUGAUUAGGUCCCUGCCCUUUGUACACACCGCCCGUCGCUACAAGCGAUGAACGGUUUAGUGAGGUCUUCGGACUGGCGCGCGCGCUGACCCGGCGUUGGGACCAGCCGACGUGCCGGAAAGAUGACCAAACUUGCUCGUUAGAGCAU